rnacentral:lncRNA from 1 species
CUCACUGUCCAGAAAUGGCUCCAGGCUGAGUUGCACCCUCAAAGCUUUCCUCUGUUUCACCUCUGUUCAGACCCAAUGCAGGCCCCUUGCAGCCCAGAGGAAUAAAGAGAUGCCUAGAAAGAGGCCGUGGCCACUUGUUCUCUUUUGUUUUCUUCACUGCGGAGGACUGAGCAAGCCCACUAUCUGAGCAAUGUGGAAAUUCCAGCCCUCACAGGGCUUCACACCUUCAAGGGGAAGAACAUUGCGCCAUGAAACUUCCUUGCUCUAGGCCUGCCAGGAAGUUCAGUGAUGGAGCUGAGGAAAAGUGCGGCAGGCUGGCAGCAGGCCUUGUGACGACACAGCGGGGAAACCACAGGAUUCUGCAUUCUUCUGACCACAAGAGGAAGAGAUGGGAUCUUACUAUGUUGCCCAGGAUAUUCUCAAACUCUUGGCUUCAAGUGAUACUCCUGCCUUGGCCUCCCAGAUUGCUGGGAUUACAGGUAUGAGCCACCACACCUGGUCAUGAAAUGAUUUUUUUCUUUUGGGUGCACUAUGUCUAUGACAUUGCAUUUACUAAACAGUAAUUUCUCUCACCCUUCUGAAAACAAAGUUGUAUACACAAAUUCCAACCAGAAUUUCAUCCACUAAACACUAACUGAGCAGUUACUAUGCUCAGAGUAGCUGAGCAGUUACUCUCACGUGCUAGGCAUGAGAGCUGCAAAGGUGAACAGAGCCCGUCCUGGCCCACUUGCUGGGGAGAGUCCCAUAAACAGACGAUCAACCAUAACAAUGCCCUGAGAGUUGAAAGAUCACCUGGACCACUCCAUUCAGUUUACAGAAGACGACACUGAGGUCUCGAGUGAGGGAUUAAGUACCCAAGAUGUCACAGCAGAUAAUGGCAGAGUCAUGAUUUCUAACAAACAAACAGAAGAAGCAAGUCCCCUGCCUGUCGUCAGCCGGAGCCCCUCUGCUACGCCUGCUCCCCUGUUUCCCAUGGACUGCCUCAUCUUUUGCCUCUAGUUUGAGCCUGAAAGUUACACCUCCAAUGAAUGAAACUCACAGGAUCAUUGGCAUCCAGUCUUCCUCCUCCACACCCACUCUCGGCCACCUGCCCUUCUCAUCCACAGGUGGGAGCAAAGCUUGGUCAACCUGAUAGGCCUCUUCCAGGCAGGGACAGGAGAAGGGACGGCACAGCAGCUCUGAGUCAGGACUCCUUUCGGUAAGGCGUGGCCGCCAGGAAGGCCUGAGAGAAGGAAACCAGCCCAGGUGCGCUCUGUUUACCUUCUCGGCUCACAAACAUGACCAGACCCUCCUUGGCUGGCUGGAUGAAGUCCCAGCCACUUAGUCCAGCCCUCGAGCCUCUCCCAUUCCAGCCACAGUCUGCCUGGCCAGUUCCAUCCCCCUACGGCUUUCCUGGUGUACCACACCAUCCUCGGAUUGCAGCUCGCCCUCUUGGGCCUUUCUGGCCUAGCAGGUGCUGUUCCUUCAGCUCCAAUGCCCUUCCCUGCCUCUCCACCCGGCAAGCUCCUUCUCUUUGUAUCUUCUGCACUAACACUUCCCUCCUCCCUCCCCUUCCCCUCUUUUUCCUUUGUGCCCCGGUGGCACUUCUGAGACAAUGUUACAAGCAUAAUAAAAUAACAAAAUCAU